rnacentral:rRNA from 1 species
GAUGAACGCUGGCGGCGUGCCUAAUACAUGCAAGUCGAGCGAACAGAUGAGGAGCUUGCUCCUCUGACGUUAGCGGCGGACGGGUGAGUAACACGUGGAUAACCUACCUAUAAGACUGGGAUAACUUCGGGAAACCGGAGCUAAUACCGGAUAAUAUAUUGAACCGCAUGGUUCAAUAGUGAAAGACGGUUUUGCUGUCACUUAUAGAUGGAUCCGCGCCGCAUUAGCUAGUUGGUAAGGUAACGGCUUACCAAGGCAAGGAUGCGUAGCCGACCUGAGAGGGUGAUCGGCCACCCGGGAUCUGAGACACGGCCCAGACACCUACGGGAGGCAACAGUAGAGAAUCUUACGCAAGGCAAGAAAGGCUGACGGAGGAAAGCCGCGUGAGUGAUGAAGGUCCUCGGAUCGUAGAACUAUGUUAUUAGUAAAGAAGAAAUGUGUAAGUACCUAGGCACGUCUUGACGGUACCUAAUGAAAAAGCCACGGCUAACUCCGUG